rnacentral:rRNA from 1 species
GACGAACGCUGGCGGCGUGCUUAACACAUGCAAGUCGAACGGUAAGGCCCUUCGGGGUACACGAGUGGCGAACGGGUGAGUAACACGUGGGUGAUCUGCCCUGCACUUCGGGAUAAGCCUGGGAAACUGGGUCUAAUACCGGAUAGGACCACUGCCUGCAUGGGUGGUGGUGGAAAGCUUUUGCGGUGUGGGAUGGGCCCGCGGCCUAUCAGCUUGUUGGUGGGGUGAUGGCCUACCAAGGCGACGACGGGUAGCCGGCCUGAGAGGGUGACCGGCAACACUGGGAGUGGGAUACGGCCCAGACUCCUACGGGGGGCAGCGGGGGGGAAUAUUGCAAAAUGGGCGCAAGCCUGAUGCAGCGACGCCGCGGGAGGGAUGACGGCCUUCGGGUUGUAAACCUCUUUCAGCACCGACGAAGCGAAAGGGACGGUAGGUGCAGAAGAAGGCCCGGCCAACUACGUGCCAGCCGCCGCGGUAA